rnacentral:rRNA from 1 species
GAGUUUGAUCCUGGCCAGGAUGAACGCUAGCGGCAGGCCUAAUACAUGCAAGUCGAGGGGCAGCGGGUGUAGCAAUACAUGCCGGCGACCGGCGCACGGGUGCGUAACACGUAUGUAAUCUGCCCAUUACUAGGGGAUAGCCCGAAGAAAUUCGGAUUAAUACCCUAUAACAUAACGAAAAGGCAUCUUUUUGUUAUUAAAGCUCCGGCGGUAAUGGAUGAACAUGCGCGACAUUAGCUAGUUGGUGAGGUAACGGCUCACCAAGGCGACGAUGUCUAGGGGUACUGAGAGGUUUCACCCCCACACUGGUACUGAGACACGGACCAGACUCCUACGGGAGGCAGCAGUGAGGAAUUUUGGGCAAUGGGCGAAAGCCUGACCCAGCAAUGCCGCGUGAACGAUGAAGUCUUUCGGGAUGUAAAGUUCGUAAGCGGGAGAAGAAUACAUGACGGUAUCCUGUGUAAGCCCCGGCUAACUCCGUGCCAGCAGCCGCGGUA